rnacentral:lncRNA from 1 species
UUGGGGGUCUCUUUUACUUUUUUAUAAAAGAAGGUACCAGAAUUUGUUAUACUCUAACCCAUAGAUUGUUAGGUCCGAACCUAUAAGUUAUUAGUCAUGGAUGCUGUUACGCCUAUAUGGUCACGUUCUAGAAAUUUGUUAAGAAAUUUUAAUUACUUUCCCAUAUAGCAAGUAGAGCUGAUAGGAUGAGAUCGGUGUGUAGCCGAAGUAUCGUCUU